rnacentral:lncRNA from 1 species
AUGUUUUUUUACCUAAUUAAGCUAAUUAUUUCAUAAAUGAACUAAAUUAGCUAAUUGUUUCAUUUUGGAGGAUAAUUAGCCAAGUAUGUCUUUCUUGGGGAAAAUAAGCUAAGGAGAAGAAGAAAGAGGAGAAGAAAGAGGAGAAGAAGAAGGAGGAGAAGAAGAAGAAGGAGGAGAAGAAGAAGAAGGAGAAGAGGAUGAUUACAAGAAUAAUAAUAAUAAU